rnacentral:rRNA from 1 species
UACGUAGGGGGCGAGCGUUGUCCGGAUUUAUUGGGCGUAAAGAGCUCGUAGGCGGUUCGGUAAGUCGGAUGUGAAAUCUCCAGGCUCAACUUGGAGGGGUCAUUCGAUACUGCCAUGACUAGAGUUCGGUAGGGGAGUGUGGAAUUCCUGGUGGAGCGGUGAAAUGCGCAGAUAUCAGGAGGAACACCCGUAGCGAAGGCGGCACUCUGGGCCGGAACUGACGCUGAGGAGCGAAAGCGUGGGGAGCGAACAGG